UACAGAGGGUGCGAGCGUUAAUCGGAAUUACUGGGCGUAAAGCGUGCGCAGACGGUCACGUAAGUCGGGUGUGAAAGCCCCGGGCUCAACCUGGGAAUUGCAUUCGAGACUGCGUGGCUAGGGUGCGGAAGAGGGAAGCGGAAUUUCCGGUGUAGCGGUGAAAUGCGUAGAUAUCGGAAGGAACACCAGUGGCGAAAGCGGCUUCCAUGGUCCGCACCGACGUUCAGGCACC
rnacentral:rRNA from 1 species